rnacentral:rRNA from 1 species
UACGUAGGGUGCGAGCGUUAAUCGGAAUUACUGGGCGUAAAGCGUGCGCAGGCGGCUUUGCAAGACAGAUGUGAAAUCCCCGGGCUCAACCUGGGAACUGCAUCCAUAACUGCUGAGCUAGAGUACGGUAGAGGGUAGUGGAAUUUCCUGUGUAGCGGUGAAAUGCGUAGAUAUGCGGAGGAACACCAAUGGCGAAGGCAAUCCCCUGGGCCUGUACUGACGCUCAUGCACGAAAGCGUGGGGAGCAAACAGG